rnacentral:rRNA from 1 species
AUGGCGUUCACGCUGGUGGGAGCCUUCAAGGGCCUGUCGCUCGCGUCCUCCUCCUCCUUCCUCCGCGGCGACCGCGCCGCGCUCCCCGGCGGCGCCGCCGGGGGCGUGGGCGUGGCGACGCUGCCGGCGCGCGGGCUGACCAUCCAGAUGGCGCACAAGAAGGGGGCCGGAAGCACCAAGAACGGCAGGGACUCCAAGGGCCAGCGCCUCGGGGUCAAGAUUUACGGCGACCAGCUCGCCAAGCCCGGCGCCAUCAUCAUCCGCCAGCGCGGCACCAAGGUUUAUCCUGGAAAUAAUGUUGGAAUGGGCAAGGAUCACACCCUCUUUUCCUUGAUUGAUGGACUUGUCAAAUUUGAGAAAUAUGGACCGGACAGGAAAAAGGUAAGCGUCUACCCAUAUGAGAAACAGCCUGAGAACCCAAACAGUUACAGAGCAAGGAAGAGAGAGAACUUCCGCUUGCAGCGCGAACGCUUGAAGGCCAGAGCAGAGGGAACUUAUGAACCAGAAUUGGUGUUGGCAGCUGCAGAUGCAAGUGUUGAGGUCAAUGCAGACUGCUGA